ACUCAGACGUUCUCAGAAUUACCCUGCCAACAUUGACCUACGCUCCAGUUCCAGUUCCUUGGGAAAAAUUUGGAUUCUUCAAACCUUAAAUAAAAUUCCCAAUCAAAAGAGGGAGAUAUCAGUAUUUUAUGGUCAAAUAUGAGAUUGUCUUAAUAAUCCCCAGAUGAAAUGUUAUAAACCCAGGAAAUUCAGAGUUAUGUUUAAAAUGAAAAGGAAUCCAAGCAUAUUAAGGUAUUCCACAGUUAACAGAUCUUGUUAACUCAAACUACAAUAUAAACAGAACACUUCCCAGUAGACAAAAGUUAAGAAGAUGUUCUCCUGUAAUUCCUACAUGAAACCCAGAACUUCCGGUGGAGCUAGAGCAUAUCUUUUUUAAACUAUUCUGUGUUGACUGAAAGACUUCAAGUGAUGGAGAAUUCAUCACAUUUUUAUACCAGAGAUACCAAGACAGGCAACAUGCCAAGGAGAAAAGAAAAACACUAUUUCUGGCCAUUUAUUCCUGUGGUACUAUAAAGAUU